rnacentral:lncRNA from 10 species
CUCUGCAUGGCAAGGUGUGGUUGCCCUCAGGGUCCUCCUUGUCAGGGACCACAAGCCCUGGGGAAGGAGGCACUCGAUGUAGGAGACAGAGAGCAGAGAGGUGGAGUGAGGGUGGGACACGCUUUGGCCUCCCCUCCUCUCCUAGUCUUCCUCCACAUGCCAGUGCCUUUCCCUCCCCAACUCCACGUCGUAUAAGAGCCACAGCAGGAAGGGUAGACCUGGGUCCCCAACAUUCUUUGAAGAAGUCUUUCCAUAAGUGUGUCCACCUCCAUUCCCACUGCAGCUUUAGGGUCUGCCUCAGUGCAGAGCCCUGGGUAUGUACAGAGCAUAGGUGUACAUGAGGGUGAUUCUGGAAGGUUCUUCCUUUGCACAUACCUGCGUGUCUCAGUUUCUCUCCUCUUCAAGUCUGCUCAAAUGGCACCUUCAUGAGGCCCACCCUGACCACCCUACUUAAAAUGCCACCUCUAUUACUUUGCAUUGAUUGUCAACUUUGCAUUUUUUUUUUUUUACUUUUUUUCUUUUUUUUUGAGGUGGAGUCUUGCUCUGUCACCAGUACAGGCGUGAGCCACCGCACCUGGCCUAUUUUUUCUUUUUAUCACCUAUCACUUUGUAAACAUAAAAGUCCUUUUCCAAAGAUGGCCUCAACAAUAUCUCCCAUCCCACAUGCUCUUUAGCAAUGUGACCUUGCCAUCCUCUAUCAAGAGCUGAUGCUAAUCCCCCUUUUUGGAUCUGGGACUUGCUUUGGUGACUAGAACAUGAGGAACGUGAUGCUGCCUGACUUCUGAGGUUCCAGCAUAAGAUGCCUUGUGGUUCUGACUUGGCCACUUGAAACACCCGGACCCCAGGUGCAGAGCCAGAAGCAGCCAGGGCACGUGGAGGAGCAGGUGGAGGAGAAACCAAGUCACCUGGUUCACAGCCUCAGUGAGUUCCCAGCCAACAAGCCAGCACCAACUGCAGCCCUGUGCAGGAGCCUCUUGAAUGUGUUGGACCAGCUGGGCUCCAGAUGAUGGUGGCCCAGCCCAUGUUGUAUGGAGCGGAAGAGCUGCCCAGCUGAGCCCAAUCAGCCCACAGAAUGAGAGAUAAUAUAAAGGUUGUUUAUAAUAUAUAUAUACAUAUAUAUAUAUUUUGGGGGGGAUGGAGUCUCACUCUGUCACCCAGGCUGGAGUGCAGUGGCACAAUCUUGGCUCACUGCAACCUCCACGUUCUGGUUUCAAGCGAUUCUCCUGCCUCAGCCUCCCAAGCAGCUGGGAUUACAGGCACCUACCACCACGCCCAGCUAAUUUUUGUAUUUUUAGUAGAAACAGGGUUUCAUCAUGCUGGCCAGGCUGGUCUCGAACUCUUGACCUUGUGAUCUGCCCACCUCAGCCUCCCAAAGUGCUGGAAUUACAGGCGUGAGCCACCAUGCCCGGCGUUUGUAUGCGUUAAGAUUAUUUUUUGCUCAGCAAUCAAUUGCUGGAACACAUCCAUAUAAUUCACUACUGUUACUAUAUUUUUCUUUAUUGUCUUUCAGAUUGUAAGCAUCAGGGAGCAGGUGUUAGUCUCUUUUGAUUAAAUGAUCACCAGGCCUAGAAAAAUGCCUGGCACAGAAGCACUUACUAAAUAUUUGUUAAAUGGAUGAAUAAACUAUGUGACCAGAAUUCCUUAAUACUGGGUCCGAGACUAGAAAGUGGGAGUUACUGGUUUGGUUUUGGCACUUGUUUAGUCAGCUUGUGCUGCCAUAACAAAACACCACAGAUGGAUUGGUUAACAACAGACAUUUCUUUCUCACAAUUCUGGACCCUGGAAAUCUGAGGUUAGGGAACCAGCAGAUUCAGUUCCUGGUGAGGGCCCUCUUCCUGCCUGGCAGACAGCUGCCUUCUUGCCAUAUCCUCACGUGGUGAAGAGAGUGGGAGCUCCAGUCUCUUCUUUUUCUUAAAAGGACACUAAUCCCAUCAUGGGGGCCCCAACCUCUCAACCUCUUCUGAAUCUAAUCACUUCCCAAGAUGGCCACCAGUCUCAAGGAGUUUACUGUCACAGUGGGAGCAAAGAUGCUACAGCAGGUUGUAAAAUUAGGUGUCAUCCCAGUCAGUGGGGAGAGGACAGGUAAUUCAGGGAAGGGGACCUGGAUAGAGCUCACCCAUAGGAUAUGGCAGGUCCCAGAACUCUACUGAAAUCAAGUCUGGAUAAAAGUCAAUAAUAUUCUUCUGACCGAAUUCCUUUCAGUCUUCCUGAGGGAUGGGCAGGCUCAUUCCAGAAUAAAGAAGAUGCCUGGGGUAAAGAAGACUAGUCUCCAAGGGCACUGGCCCAGGACACCUAGGUUCUACUGGUCACCAACGCCCACCCAGAUCUCUCCUGGGUGGAGCCUUGUUCCAAGCCUCUCACAGCCCUUGCCUGCAUUCCCAUGGUGCUCACCAUGGAUAACAGGGCCACAGCCAGCCUCAGAGCCAGACUGUUAAGUGAAACCACUGAUCCUUGCUGAAUUACUUCUUUGAGGCUGAGAUAAACUUCACAUUUCAGCCUCAUUAAUAAGAUUAAUUGUAAAUCCAAAUGGCCUGCAAAUCUAUAAACAGUCGCUCAGUUGAUUAGCCAGAACAUUGAGGACUGUUAAUGAUACAGGAAAAGGCCCAUUUUGGAGGUGAGAAGCUGAGGAGCCUGAAACUGUUUCCAUUGUUUAUGAAAGUAAUCUGACAAUUAUGAAUGAAAAUACCCACCACCCCCCGACCCAGCAAUCCAAGGUGGGAAAUAUCUUUUUUUUUUUUGAGACGGAGUUUUGCUCUUGUCCCCCAGGCUGGAGUGCAGUGAUGCAAUCUCAGCUCACUGCAACCUCCAUCUCCCAAGUUCAAGUGAUUCUCCUGCCUCAGCCUCCCAAGUAACUGAGAUUACAGGCGUGUGCCACCAUGCCAGGGUAAUUUUUGUAUUUUUAGUAGAAACGAGGUUUCACCAUGUUGACCAGGCUGGUUUCGAACUCCUGACCUCAAGUGAUCCGCCCACCUCAGCCUCCCAAAUGCUGAGAUUACAGGUGUGAGCCCAAACUCCUACUUUUAAAUCACUGCAUAAUAGUCCAUAGUCCAUUGAAUGGAGUAUAGCAAUAAACACUGUUACAUAUUCUGAACCUCAACUCCCUCCCUCCCUCCCUUCCUCUCUCUCUCUCUUCUUUCUUUCUUAUUUUUUGACACAGGGCCUCACUCUGUCACCCAGGCGGAGUGCAGUUGUGGGUUAAUCAUGGCUCACUGCAGCCGCGACCUCCCCAGGCUCAGGUGAUCCUCCCACCUCAGCUUCCGGAGUAGCUGGGACUACAGGCAUGAGCCACCUCACCCGGCUAAUUUUUUGUAUUUCUGGUGGAGAAGGGGUUUCACCAUUUUGCCCAGGCUGGUCUUAAACUCCUAGGCUCAAACCAUCUGCCUGCCUCACCCUCCCAAAGUGCUAGGAUUACAGGUGAGCCACCACACCCAGCCAACUGCCUUUAUUUCUGUAAGAGAUAUUUCCCGGCCAGGCGCGGUGGCUUACACCUGUAAUCCCAGCACUUUGGGAGGCCGAGGCGGGUGGAUCACCUAAGGUCAGGAGUUCGAGACUAGCCUGGACAACAUGGCAAAACCCCGUCUCUACUAAAAAUAUAAAAAUCAGCCGGGCGUGGUGGGGGGUGCCUGUAAUCGCAGCUACUUGGGAGGCUGAGGCAGGAAGAAUUGCUUGAACCCGGGGGGGUGGGGGUUGCAGUGAGCCCAGAUGGCGCCACUGCACUCCAGUCUGGGUGACAGACCAAGACUGUCUCAAAAAAAAUAAAAUACAUAAAUAAAUAACAAUAAUAAUAUGUAAGAUUUGUCCCACGGCAUUUUGAGGUGAUGGCAGGCAGAAAUAAAGCCAGUCCCACCCUUUCUGGGCUAGGGAAAGCUGAGAUGGUCUUCGGCUCCGGGUGAGUCACUCCCCAGGGUCCAGGCCUGGCUGCCCGUUCCCCUCCCCCUCCAACCCACCUACAGCCCCUUCUGCUCUGCCCCAUCAACUACAUUUUCUCCCUCAGCACUCGCCUUAGAUUCCUGGACCCACAGCACAGAGGCGACCUCCUCCUUGCAGACUUUAGGCGCCACUGCGGGGUCCGGAAAAAAAAGAGAAACGGCCCAGCGCUGUCACUUACAUAACCCAGGGCGGGGCUGCGCUCGGCGACCGCAAGCGUUUUGAAUUCUGCGCCCCAGAGUUCACUGCGAGGACUGGGAUCACCCGUCACCCCGCCCUGGUCUACGGAAAAUGACAAGUGUUUACUGAUAUAGAAACGGAAUAACGGCGCUGUGGGCUGGGGUGGGCGGAGCUGCCUUCAGGCUUCUGGUCUCCAGCGGCGGGGAACUCACACCUGCCGCUGUGAAAAUGCAGACCCGCGGGGCAGUAAUUCCGAGUCCAGCCUGGGGCGCGAUCUGGAAUCUUGACUCGCUUGAAACACCACGACGGAUUCGGAGACAGGUGAGUAGAGAAAUGAGCCUCAGCCCCUCCCACGGGCCGCCCACGGAUUCCAGGAUCCGGAAACUCUUCCUGCUGCUGCGUCACCCCAGGAAGGCAGCGCCCGCCUCUGGGCAGUUCUGAUGGAAACUGGCUUCGCCGCCCAGAGGAAAACCCACAACUAAGGGGCCAAGAAAAAGCCUCCAUGGUCCCGCCCUUUCAGUGAGGAUCCUAAUUUAUACCCCGAGUGUGGCCCCCAUCAAAGUCUGCAGUGACAGCCGAGCGCGGUGGCUCACGUCUGUAAUCCCGGCACUUUGGGAGACCAUGGCGGGCGGAUCACUUGAGGUCAGGAGUUCGAGACCAGCUUGGCCAACAUGGUGAAGCCCCUUCUCUACUAGAAAUACAAAAAUUAGCCGGGUGUGGUCGUAGGCGCCUGUAGUCCCAGCUACUCGGAGGCUGAGGCAGAAAAAUGGCUUGAACGCGGGAGGCGGAGCUUGCAGGGAGCCGAGAUCGCGCCACUGCACUCCAGCCUGGGCGACAGAGACUCCAUCUCACACACACACAAAAAAUGUAGAGUGACGUUCACUGAAAUGAUACUAGACCAGCGGGAGGGACCCAGAGCGCUGCGGUUCACAGAAUGCGGUGACAGCGCCGCCUCGCGUCCUUUACUUCAACUGCCCCAGGCAGACGUGGUCACGUGUGUUGGCCUGGAGGCUGGAAUACACCGGGGUCAAAUGCAGAGUGGAGAAAGGAGGGAAGGAUGGGAGGACGUGUUGAAGAAAGACAGUAAGAGCUAGCGCUAUGGUUCAUAUCUGUAAAACUAGAGUUUUCGGAGGCGAGGCAGGAGGAUCGUGUGAGACCAGGAGUUUGAGGUCGCAGUGAGCCGUGAUCACACCACUGCACUCCAGCCUGGACGACAGAGUGAGACCCUGCUUUUAUAUACUUUUCAUAUUUUCUGUAAUUAAGCAAGUUUUGUGUCCGGAAUUGGUGGGUUCUUGAUCUCACUGACUUCAAGAAUGAAACUGUGGACCCUCGCGGAAAUUCCUGUUGAUGGCGCAUUUAGGAACUUAUUUAUCCCCUGAAGACCUGAGCCCUGCACAUAUCAAAACUGUACAUUCCUUGUGGAGCAGUCUUCUCUUUUGAAAUGUAGACACUAUUUCCCUAAUCUUCAAGCCAGCCAUUGUCACUCCUAGUGACACUUCCAUUGGAUAAGCUCCUUACUCUCACUGAAAUUGGCCUCAGAGUUGCAGCCAAGCAUUGGGAGCCAUGGCAGAAGUCAUUGUGGGGUUUGCACCUGGCUGAUGUGGAAGGUAGUCCUGAAAGGUAGUGUGUGACUAAGUGGGCUCUGGAGGGCAGGGAUGUGCCUGGUGAGAGGAGAACAAGACAGAUAGGAAGGUUCCAAAAGAAAACUUCAGGGGUCCCUGUGCCCAACAUCGGGAUUUAGAAAAUCUUCUCCCAGCCACUUUUGACCUGCUUUCAUUCCGCUUUCCUGUCUACCAGGCCAUUGCAGGCAGUUCCUUCAUUGAAUAAAUAUUUAUCAAAUACCUACCACGUGCCAGGCAUUGUGUUUAAGGAGCUGGGGCUGAGGUAAGAGGAACCAAACCCCCCUUGCGCUCAAGGUUGUCCCAGUCUUGCUCAGGCAGAGAUCAGUCAGGAAAUUGUAACACUAAUGGUUGGCAGGACAUGUACACAUGCUUUGCAAACUCACAAGUAGACCAUCUUCUCUGACCUAGGAGUCACAGAAAGUUCACAAAAGAGACAAUGUUCAAGCUAUGUUUUGAGGUGUAAGUAGGAGCCCAACAGGCACCUGGGACAAGAGAGCAUUGCUCAGAAUCCAGAACAUGAAUUUCUUUCCCUGGGCCAGGCCAAGAAUCAGACUAAGCUGACUGAGGAGCCAGAUGCUUCCUGGCAAGAAAGGGUGUCCCACAUCUGACUAUUCCAAAAUCACAGCUACUCAAUGUUGAGACUUAAGACAGACAGAAAAAGAGAAAGGCCUGAUUCGAAAAGCAGAAUUCUCCAGGGGUGGGGGGAGGUUAAACUGCAGUUUCUGAUAUAAUAUGUGUGGGCCAG